rnacentral:rRNA from 1 species
UUGACCUCGGAUCAGGUAGGAAUACCCGCUGAACUUAAGCAUAUCAAUAAGCGGAGGAAAAGAAACCAACUGGGAUUGCCUCAGUAACGGCGAGUGAAGCGGCAACAGCUCAAAUUUGAAAUCUGGCCCUCGCGGGUCCGAGUUGUAAUUUGGAGAGGAUGUUUUGGGCACCGCGGCGGUGUAAAUUUCUUGGAACAGAAUGUCAGAGAGGGUGAGAAUCCCGUCUUGGACCGCCGUAGGACCCGUGUAAAACUCCUUCGACGAGUCGACUUGUUUGGGAAUGCAGGUCAAAAUGGGUGGUAAAUUUCAUCUAAAGCUAAAUAUUGGCCAGAGACCGAUAGCGCACAAGUAGAGUGAUCGAAAGAUGAAAAGCACUUUGAAAAGAGAGUUAAACAGUAUGUGAAAUUGUUGAAAGGGAAGCGCUGGCAACCAGACUCGUACGCGGGGUUCCCCCUUGCUUCUGCUUGGGUUACUUCCCCGCGUCCGGGCCAUCAUCAGUUUUGGGGGCCGGUCAAAGGCCCCGGGAAAGUAUCCUCUCUCUCGGGGGAGGACUUAUAGCCCGGGGUGUCAUGCGGCCUCCCGGGACUGAGGAACGCGCUUCGGCGAGGAUGAUGGCGUAAUGGUUGUCAGCGACCCGUCUUGAAACACGGACCAAGGAGUCUAACAUCUAUGCGAGUGUUCGGGUGUCAAACCCUGGCGCGGAAUGAAAGUGAACGGAGGUAGGAAGGCUUGAGCCUGCACUAUCGACCGAUCCUGAUGUCUUCGGAUGGAUUUGAGUAAGAGCAUAGCUGUUGGGACCCGAAAGAUGGUGAACUAUGCGUGAAUAGGGUGAAGCCAGAGGAAACUCUGGUGGAGGCUCGCAGCGGUUCUGACGUGCAAAUCGAUCGUCAAAUUUGCGUAUAGGGGCGAAAGACUAAUCGAACUAUCUGGUAGCUGGUUUCUGCCGAAGUUUCCCUCAGGAUAGCAGUAACGUUUUCAGUUUUAUGAGGUAAAGCGAAUGAUUAGAGGCCUUGGGGUUGAAACAACCUUAACCUAUUCUCAAACUUUAAAUAUGUAAGAAGUCCUUGUUACUUUGUUGAACGUGGACAUUUGAAUGUACCGUUACUAGUGGGCCAUUUUUGGUAAGCAGAACUGGCGAUGCGGGAUGAACCGAACGCGAGGUUAAGGUGCCGGAAUGCACGCUCAUCAGACACCACAAAAGGUGUCAAUGCAUCUAGACAGCCGGACGGUGGCCAUGGAAGUCGGAAUCCGCUUAGGAGUGUGUAACAACUCACCGGCCGAAUGCAUUGGCCCUGAAAAUGGAUGGCGCUUAAGCGUGCUACCCAUACCUCGCCGUCAGGGUUGACAUGAUGCCCUGACGAGUAGGCAGGCGGGAGGUCCGGA